GUCAGGUGUUAAUCUUCAGAGACAGAUUACAGUCAGGUGUUAAUCUACAGAGACACAUUACAGUCAGGUGUUAAUCUUCAGAGACAGAUUACAGUCAGGUGUUAAUCUACAGAGACACAUUACAGUCAGGUGUUAAUCUACAGAGACAUCACCAGAAUGUUAGAGGGUUGUAGAGAGAGAGAGAGUGAGGAGACAUGGAGAAGGAAGACUAGACAGGAGAUGGUGAUGAGGAGGACAGGAGAUGAGGAGGGUUGUAGAGAGAGAGAGAGAGUGAGGAGACAUGGAGAAGGAAGACUAGAUAGGAAAUGAGAUGGUGAGGAAGAGGAGGACAGGCGAAAGGAUAUGAUGAGGAGGGGAAGAGGAGAUGAGCAGGGGAAGAGAGGAGAGUGAGGAGGACAGGAGAUGAGGGGAAGAGAUGAGAGUGAAGAGGAG
ensembl:lncRNA